GUACUUACCUGCCACAGGACACACCGCGAUCAUGAAGCCGGUUCCCCCAGGGCGAGGCUCGCCAUUUCACUCCGGCGGCGCUGACCCCUGUGAUUAUCCCAAAUGUGGUUAACUCGAGUGUGCAAUUUUCAAUAAAGACUGCUGCGAUGGUCCAGUGGUUA